UACGGAGGGUGCAAGCGUUAUCCGGAUUCACUGGGUUUAAAGGGUGCGUAGGUGGGCAGGUAAGUCAGUGGUGAAAUCUUUGGGCUUAACCCGAAAACUGCCAUUGAUACUAUUUGUCUUGAAUAUUGUGGAGGUCAGCGGAAUAUGUCAUGUAGCGGUGAAAUGCUUAGAUAUGACAUAGAACACCAAUUGCGAAGGCAGCUGGCUACACGAAUAUUGACACUGAUGCACGAAAGCGUGGGGAUCAAACAGG
rnacentral:rRNA from 1 species